AUACGGAGGGUGCAAGCGUUAAUCGGAAUUACUGGGCGUAAAGCGCGCGUAGGCGGUUUAGUAAGUCGGAUGUGAAAGCCCUGGGCUCAACCUGGGAAUUGCAUUCGAUACUGCUUGACUAGAGUAUGGUAGAGGGAAGUGGAAUUUCCGGUGUAGCGGUGAAAUGCGUAGAUAUCGGAAGGAACACCAGUGGCGAAGGCGACUUGCUGGGCCAAUACUGACGCUAAGGUGCGAAAGCGUGGGGAGCAAACAGGAUUAGAAACCCCAGUAGUCC
rnacentral:rRNA from 1 species